rnacentral:rRNA from 1 species
GGAGGAAAAGAAACCAACAGGGAUUGCCCUAGUAACGGCGAGUGAAGCGGCAACAGCUCAAAUUUGAAAUCUGGCUUUCGGGCCCGAGUUGUAAUUUGUAGAGGAUGAUUUUGAUGCGGUGCCUUCCGAGUUCCCUGGAACGGGACGCCAUAGAGGGUGAGAGCCCCGUCUGGUUGGAUGCCAAAUCUCUGUAAAUCUCCUUCGACGAGUCGAGUAGUUUGGGAAUGCUGCUCUAAAUGGGAGGUAUAUGUCUUCUAAAGCUAAAUACCGGCCAGAGACCGAUAGCGCACAAGUAGAGUGAUCGAAAGAUGAAAAGCACUUUGAAAAGAGAGUUAAAAAGUACGUGAAAUUGUUGAAAGGGAAGCGUUUAUGACCAGACUUGGGCUUGGUUAAUCAUCUGGGGUUCUCUCCAGUGCACUUUUCCAGCCCAGGCCAGCAUCAGUUUUCGCCGGGGGAUAAAGACUUCGGGAAUGUGGCUCCCCUCGGGGAGUGUUAUAGCCCGUUGUGUAAUACCCUGGUGGGGACUGAGGUUCGCGCUUCUGCAAGGAUGCUGGCGUAAUGGUCAUCAACGACCCGUCUUGAAACACGGACCAAGGAGUCGUCUUCGUAUGCGAGUGUUCGGGUGUCAAACCCCUACGCGUAAUGAAAGUGAACGCAGGUGAGAGCUUCGGCGCAUCAUCGACCGAUCCUGAUGUUCUCGGAUGGAUUUGAGUAAGAGCAUACGGGGCCGGACCCGAAAGAAGGUGAACUAUGCCUGUGUAGGGUGAAGCCAGAGGAAACUCUGGUGGAGGCUCGCAGCGGUUCUGACGUGCAAA